AAGGUCUGAACCAUUUCAUUUUGGAUUUAGUUGCUGUGAUUUUACUUUUGCAAGGUCUGAACCAUUUCAUUUUGGAUUUAGUUGCUGUGAUUUUACUUUUGCAAGGUCUGAACCAUUUCAUUUUGGAAAAGUAACUCUUCGUGUUAGAGUUAGGGUUGAUAGAGAACACGAGAACUCCAUGGAUGCCACUUAAUCGGAGGGUGGAUGUGAUUGGAAGAUGAACAUGAUCGGAAGAAAAUUACUAAAAGGGGUAAGGUCGUGAGAGAGAGUUGCGCUAGGGAGAACACGGGAUGCUCAAUCUGUGUGACGAGGUGGCGAGUGAGAAGCAAUGAGAGAACAAGGUCGUUAUGUACAACUUCAAUAAUGCUUAAGUUAAACAUCAAGGAUCAUAGUACUUAGUCCAGUUAGUGGUUAUCCAAUGAAGAGUUUGUGGUCUGCAAUGGAACUUCUUAUCUCAAACAAAUCUCGUGGUUCGUGAGUAUACAUUUCAUCACAUUUAUUGGUACAGUAACUGGUUAUGUACACAUUCCUAUGUGGUUUUAUGUGAAAGGAGUUCUGUACAAUAAUAAAAAUGGUUAACUUGAAUAUGAAUGAUCAUAUUACUUUGGUGCAGUAA